GACGAACGCUGGCGGCGUGCUUAACACAUGCAAGUCGAACGGACAGGCCCUGCUUUUGUGGGGUGCUCGAGUGGCGAACGGGUGAGUAACACGUGAGUAACCUGCCCUUGACUUUGGGAUAACUUCAGGAAACUGGGGAUAAUACCGGAUAGGAGCUCCUGCUGCAUGGUGGGGGAUGGAAAGAUUCGGCGGUUGGGGAUGGACUCGCGGCUUAUCAGCUUGAUGGUGGGGUAGUGGUUUACCAAGCCUUCGACGGGUAGCCUGCCUGAGAGGGUUACCGGCGACAAUGGUACUGAGAGACGGCGCAGACGCCAACGGGACGCAGCAGGGGGGAAUAUGGCAGAAUGGGCGGAAGCCAGAUGCAGCGACGCCGCGUGCGGGAUGACGUCUUUCGGGGGGUGAACCGCUUUCGCCUGUGAUGAAGCGUGAUUGACGGUAAUGGGUAAAGAAGCACCGGCUAACUACGUG
rnacentral:rRNA from 1 species